GGGAGGCAUUUCUUGCUGAGAGAUAUGUAUGAUGAUAUGAUGCUGGAUGGAGUACAGCCAAGUAGGGAUACAUUCCAUUCUGUCAUCAGUUAGUGGAAAGGUGGAUAAGCAAAAUGCUCAUUUCUUUGGUGUUACGAUCAACGAGCAACAAGCCGAGUGUGGUAUUGUAGUAAGAGUUACUUCAAAUGCACAAAGCAAAUUUAAGUUACUUUAUUUCGAGCAAGAUGUGAAUGGCGGUUAUGGUUUGGCCCUACAGAUGGAUAAUUGAUCCUCCUCUGGAUGUCAAUGUACCAUCAAAACGCACACCAUGGCCUGAUGCCCCUCCUGAACUCCCUACCAAUGAAAAUGUAGUGUUGGGCAUCCAAGAGCAUGCUGUAAAGCAUCCUACAAAG